rnacentral:rRNA from 1 species
UACGGGGGGGGCAAGCGUUGUUCGGAAUUACUGGGCGUAAAGGGCUCGUAGGCGGCCAACUAAGUCGGACGUGAAAUCCCUCAGCUUAACUGGGGAACUGCGUCCGAUACUGGAUGGCUCGAGUGUGGGAGAGGAAUGCGGAAUUCCAGGUGUAGCGGUGAAAUGCGUAGAUAUCUGGAGGAACACCGGUGGCGAAGGCGGCAUUCUGGACCAUAACUGACACUGAGAGACGAAAGCCAGGGGAGCAAACAGG